GACGAACGCUGGCGGCGUGCUUAACACAUGCAAGUCGAACGAAGUCGCGAACGGGUGAGUAACGCGUAAUCAACCUGCCCUUCAGAGGGGGCCAACAGUUGGAAACGACUGCUAAUACCGCAUACUGAAGGAGGGGAUUGCGUCUGAUUAGCUAGUUGGAGGGGUAACGGGCCACCAAGGCCAUGAUCAGGAGCCUGUCCGAGAGGAUGGACGGCCACAUUGGGACUGAGACACGGCCCAGACUCCUACGGGAGGGAGCAGGUGGGAAUCUUCCGCAAUGGACGAAAGUCUGACGGAGCAACGCCGCGUGGGGGAUGAAGGCUUUCGGGUUGUAAAGCUCUGUUAAUCGGGACGCGGUACCGGAAUAGAAAUCCACGGCUAACUACGUGCCAGCAGCCGCGGUAAUUC
rnacentral:rRNA from 1 species